rnacentral:lncRNA from 1 species
UAGCCUUCCGAAGUGCUGGGAUUACGGUGUGAACCACCAUGCCCAGCCUACAUAUUUUUUUAACUCUUAACAUCGGCAAUAAGGCCAAGCACAGUGGCUCAUGCCUGUAAUCUCAGUGCUUUGGAAGGCCGAGUCAGGAGGAUCACUUGAGGCCAGGAGUUCGAGGCUGCAGUGAGCUAUGUUGAUGCCACUGCAUUCCACCCUGGGAGACAGAACAAAACCCUGUCUCUAAAAAUAAAAAAUAAAAAAAAAAUCUGCAGUAAAUACAAUAAUCUAAAAAUCGGCAAAGGACUUGAACAGACAUUUCACCAAACAGGAUACAUGGAUGCAAAUCGGCACAUGAGGAGUUCCAUGCAGAUUUAAACAGUGAUGAGGUUCCCGUGCACACCUAUUAGAUGGCUAGGAGUUGAUAGUUGUGUGAGGUUAUGGGUUAUGUGGAGGUUCCUAGUAAGAUGGUAGAUUUAAACCCAAAUAGAUUAGUGAUUAUAAAUCAAUUAGAAGAGUCCAUCAUAAGACAAAUAUAUUCUGUUUCUGCAACUUACAUUUACAAUACAUAUACAGAAAGGUUGAAAAUAAGAGAACAGGCCAGGCACGGUGGCUCACGCCUGUAAUCCCAGCACUUUGGGAGGCCGAGGCAGGGGGAACACUUGAGGUCAGGAGUUUGAGACCAGCUGACCCUGGGUGCUGGACGUGCUCACUGCUGCCCGGCUGCCGCCGCUCAGGCUGUCUUUGCAGGCAUGCGCACACCUGUGUUUCCACACCCAUCCCUCUCCCAGGCCGUCAAUGAUUUAACCACAAGUUCAUGCCAGUCCACAGGGCUUAUUCCUAAAUCCCCACUUUCCUGAUGUGUAACCACCACUUACAGUCAGAGUCUCGCUCCCUCAUCCUCAAUCUCCCUAUUUAUUGUUCCAUUCCGAAUGCCUCCUCUGCCCAUGCUAGGUGUGCUAUUGAAAGCUCAGCCCCAAAGAAAGGAAAAGGGGAGGGCUUGGGCAACACGAGGAAAAAGCCAGCUGGAAAGCUGUGCCUUGGACACAGCAGACAGACUGCUGGCCCUUGGCUGAAGGUGACCCCUAAAUACGCGUCCACAUCGCAUUGGAGCAUCACCCUCAUACAAUACUCAGGAAUUAUGCCGUAGUUAGCAACACAUUUCACAUUAACCUCACGGUGGAGGAGCGAGCGGUUGCCACUCUGACUAAGGGAGAGAGGUGGGUGGCACCCGCAGCAGGGCCCAGAGAGCCACACCCUCCUGAGCGAAUGCCCUGAGGCUGACACAGCUCCAUUCCCAUACGUCCAUCACACGCGUGUGUGUGUGUGUGUGUGUGUGUGUGUGUGUGUGUAGAGAAUGGUCAGGUGAAAUGUUAACAAUUGAGGAAUCUGUGUGAAGACAUAUAGGAGCUAUGGUACCACUGUAGUAUUUUUGUUGUUUGUUUUUUCUUUUUGUUUUGUUUGUUUGUUUUUGUGACAGGGUGUCACUCUGUCGCCCAGACCCAGAGUGCAGUGGUGCAAUCUUGGCUCACUGCAAUCUUCGCCUCCCAGGUUGAAGCAAUUCUCUUGCCUCAGCCUCCAGCUCCCGAGUAAAUGGGAUUACAGGCACCCACCACCAUGUCCAGCUAAUUUUUGUAUUUUUAGAAGAGGCAGGGAUUCACCAUGUUCAGCUAAUUUUUGUAUUUUUAGAAGAGGCAGGGUUUCACCAUGUUGGUCAGGCUGGUCUCGAACUCCUGACCUCAGAUGAUCCACCUGCCUCGGCCUCCCAAACUGCUGAGAUUACAGGCGUGAGCCACGGCGCCCAGCCACUACUGUAAUUUUUUUAUUUGAAAUGAUUUUUUAAUAAAAGGUUUUCUAAAAUCAAUAAAUGUAAGUCUUCACAUUAACAGAUUAAAGAAAAAAAUGACCAUAUCAGUAGGUGCAAAAAAGGCAUUUAGUAGAUUCAAUAGCUGUUCAUGACUUCCUAAAACAGCUCUCAGUAGACGGAGAAUGGAAGGGAGCUCUCCUUAAUCUAAUUAAGUACAUCUACAGGAAUCUGCUUUGCAAACAGCAAUCUUCGUAGUGCAGAACUAGAACACUCUCUUCCAGCCAGAAGCAGACAGAGACGCUGCAGCCGCCUGGGCUGCUCAGCCCCUACUAGAAACACCAGGAAAACAGGGUGCUUCUUUCAGGAAGCAAGAAAAAGAAAUAAGAAUGGGGGAUUUUAAGCUGGGCAUGGUGGCUCACGCCUGUAAUCCCAACACUUUGGGAGGUCGAGGCGGGCAGAUCACGAGGUCAGGAGAUCGAGACCAUCCUGGCUAACACAGAGAAACCCCGUGUCUUUUAAAAAUA